UCAUAACGCGUUAGUGGUUUGUUAUGUUGUGAUCGUAUAUUAUGAAAAAGAUAUAUUAUUAUUUAUAUUCAGGGAAAAAGCAUUCUUGAAUGACAUUGUUGUUUUAUUUACGUGUUUAUAAGAAUAAUUAUUAGAUUAAAAGUGAUUUUCUCAACAAAUUAUUCAACAAACAUAGCUUUCUCCUACAUCAUUGAAUUUACAUCGAUGUCAUCUACGUUAUCACAUAGAAAAAGGUUAUAUAGUGUGAUAAAAAGAAUAAGUUGCAAGCAAGAUUAGAAUUGAAAGUUCAUCAACAAUACGAUCUUCAAGUUCCUGAAAAACAAGACUAGUGAAGUCGGAUAAAAAGUACUCAAAUAAGAUAAUUUUGCAGUGAAAGGAGAAGAAAUUAAAAACAUCGCUAAAAGAAAUACGCUAGUUUCUAUAAUCAGAAUUCAAUAAUUUCUUGUCAAAAUUAUAUAAGCUAUGAACAAAGUUUUAAAUCAGAUAAGUACAAGAAUAAUGAAAAGAAUGGAAACACGACUUCUACGGAGGAAAGAGAACCUGUCUGAUAAAGUUUUUUUCGAAGGAAAGAAUAUCAUAGUCAAGCCAUAUGAUACAAUGAACGUAACCUAAAUGUUAUCAAAAAAACUGUACCUACCUUCUUCCAUAUAGUAUCAAUGGACAACAAGUUUCUUCAAAACUUUUCUUCAAGCAAUUGGGAUUGAUUUGGAGAAGUAGAAAUGACGGAAGUACCGAUAAAAGAGUGCAAACAAGAAAUAGCCUUUGAGAACAUGAACAAUCUCAUACUCAUUCAGAAAUUUUACUAUGGUGAAAGUAUAUUCAUGAUCAAAUGAACAGGAUUUAUCGGAAAAUUCUUGAUCGAGAAAUCAUUGAGAACAGAUCCUGAUACGAACUGCUUUUAUUUUUUGAUACGUCCAAAAGAAAUUAACACAGUGAACUGAUUCAAAAUUUACUUGACUUGGCUUUAUUUCAUCAAAAAUGUCCGUCUAAUAUAGCCGAAAUUUGCAAACUGUCGAGACGGAAGAUGCGAACUUCGAUUUUAGUUUCGUACGUAUUUACACGAGUAUCUAUAAGUAAUUUUUUUUUUCAAACGAACCUUCUCUAAUGCGAUUAAGCUUCCAACUAAAACAAAAAUGAAAUGAAAGAAAAAAGUAAAUAUGAAAAAGUAUAGUGUAAAUAGGAUGAGAGAAGUAGCAAAUCAAUAAACAUUUUGAUUAAUAUUUGUAAUAAAUAUCAUAAUAAAAUAUAUAAUAAAUAAUCAAAUAUCACAUU